GAAGAUGUAAGUGUAGGGACUUGUGCUAUAGAGCCAAGCACCCAAGAAUCACUACAUGAAGUUGUACACUCACUAGAACUGGAGUCUGAGCAUUUAAUUAAUGAGAAAGAGGUAACAAUCACCAUUCCAGGUACCUAUCAACAUGACAAGGACACAAUAGAUGUUUGAAAUAGGUACUAAAUCUGAACCGUCUACGACCUCCGGAAAAAGUUUUCAAGGGAAAAAGGAUGAAUAGAAAGAAUUUAAGUGGAACCAUGAUUACUCCACUUACGGGGUGGCUUCUUUUGUUAGAUCUUCUUCAACCACCGGGAAUUAAAGGGGAGUUGGUUCCAAUUUAGCUUUCUUUUGCAUUUUAAUUCAUGCUUUGUGUCUAAUAAAUUCUUUAUACGUAUCUUUAGUUUCAUACUUUGCAUUUUGCAUUUUACUUUCAUACUUUACAUUUAGUUGGUAUACAUAUUACAUAGCAUUUCAUUUGAAUAAAAGUCUCCAUGAAUUGUUUAGUAAUAUUUUUAAGAUGGUAAAAGUUUCUUUAAUUUGAUCAUCAAUUUUAGGUCAUAUGACAUGAUUGAAUGCUCUACUUACAUGAUUUUGGUUAAAAUGGUAGUGGAUUCCAAUUUGAUUAAUUGAGCUUGAUUGCAUAAGUAUUACCUAUAGAGGACCACUUCAAGCGUAUAUUCUAUUAUUUUCUUUAUGUGACAUGCACUCAUAGCAAUUGAAACUCUAGAACUUGCUUUGCUUCUUUUCAAAGUCAUAAUAGCAUAUGUGUACAUGGAGAUGAAGGAUAUUUGUCAUUCUUGUUCCAUCAUAAAUUCUAAUUUCUUUUCCCACAAUUUUCUUAAACAUUUCCCUCUAGCAUUUUAACCUUUGAUUACCUUUUCUUUGCUCUAUUUCAUUGAGUGUUUUGGUUGACUAUCUUGAUGAGUUAGAUUGUUCGAUGAUGGACAAAGUUUUAAGAUUGGGGGAAGUGUAUUCCGUUGCAAUCUUGAGGACUGAAUUUAAGGGCUAGAAUUGAAUAGAAGUAAACUAUAUUUAAGUUGAUGGUGGAUGUAUUCUAGAAACAGGCUGUGAGCACUGAAUAGAAUCAAGCUGCAAUCCUUUGAUCAAGCUUAACUCUUCAUGGUUCAAAGUAAAAUUCUUUGUGUUUACAAGUUCAGAAAGCAAAGCUCUGAAAUUGGAAGCUGGUAUUGGAUUCUAAAUUCUAGAAAAUGGGACAUUCAUAUGGAUUCAUAGUUUAUCAAAGUGAUGAAUUUCGAAAUAAAUUCUAAGAUAAAAGCUGUUGGUUGAGAAUCUGAAUUUAGUUGCUUGAGUUUCAAAAGAUUGAAAACCUGUUUCUGAAUUUAGUUGCUUGAGUUUUAAAAGAUUGAAAACCUGUUUUUUCUGUCUUCAGAUUUUUGGAGAAGCAAAAUUGGCACACUACAUUUUUAAUUGGAAGUUGUUAUUUUCAGUUUUUGACAAGAAAUUUGAAUUUCUGAGAUGUUGAAUGAAGGACUGCAUUUGACAGUUACAAUUUCAAUUGAUUAGGAUAAUGUAUUAACUGGAUAGUGUAGAGUGUAGAAUUUCGAUGAGGAUACUAAGGAUGCAGGAAGGGCAAACCAGCACAUUGCUGUUAGUAGUAGUUGAAAUAGAUAAUUAUGCAUCAACUUAGUAGAGCUAACUUGUUAAUUAGUUGAGGAAGCAUUUGAAGGCAUUGUGCUAUUGGAAACAAUUUUGAUGACACUUUUACUUACCUGUUGAAGUCUCAAUAUGUUCAGGAAUCUGACUCUGAAACUGCAGUAACAAGUCUGGACCAAAAUUCAGAAAUAUUUCUACAGCUAGAAACAGUAGGAUACUGGACAUGAAUGAAUUCAAAUCUGAGAAAGGAUAAGGCUAAUCUUGUUAAACUUUGAUUCAAAAGUUUAAUAGAAAUGGAAGUGAAAAGUAAAUUGAAGCAGAACAAAUGAGGAAACUGAAAUCUGAUUAAUUUCAGAGAACAGAAUCCAGUAGAAAUAUCAAGGCUGUAUCAACUGAGCAUUGUUAAUCUCGAAAUUCAGUGAAGAACCAAUUGAGAAUGCAGUGGUGUUAUAAACAGAUGUAUACAUGUAUACUAUACUUUCUGAGAUGCUGAAAGGAACAAGAAUUUAGAAAACUGAAGAGUGCUGAAGUGGAUUGGAAAAUGGCAGAAAUGCUGUUUGAAAGUAGCUAGAAGCAAAUAGGAGUAGAUGGUAACAAAUGUUGAAUUGAGGUGACUGUAACUGGGAAUUAUUGGAAAUGAAGAAGCUUGAAUCUUAAGGGAAGAUCAGUAGCAACAUUGAAAAAAAAAUAUGCAGAAAUUGAAGAUUUGCAUAAUCUGGAAGUUGAAGCUGAGCAGCAGGAACAGAAAUGAACAAAGUACAGAGUUCUGUAGAAUAUAGAAUGUAGCAGUUUUUGUGCCAAAUUGGAUUGAAUUGUGAAGAGCUAGAGUUGAUGGAACAAAAGAAUGAUGAGUAGCAUUCCUCUUCAGAAUCAGUUGAAGGUUGAAGUUGUGCUGAUUGAUGCUGAAUUCUGUGAGCAAGGCUACUGUUGGUGUAGUGAAUCUUGAUUGGGUUUGUCACUAAUGCAAUAGAGUUGCACAUCUCUAGCUUAGUGGUAUGGAGUGUUCACUACAAAAGUAAGAUAAGAAAGGAGUUUAAUACAAUAGCUAAUUAAUGCUGGAAAUUGAUUUGUGCUAACUGAUGAUGCUUCGAAUUAAAGUUUCGAUCAUUCCAAAGUUAAAUGAAAUCUUGAGCAAGCUUUUGAUACAAAUUUCUGAUCAGAAAAAAAUUGCUAUCAUUUAAUUUUCAUUUGAUGUUCUUUUCCGAGCUUACCAUGGAUCAAAAUAUACAACUCAAAUGAAGUGGUUUUCUGAAACUACUCAGUUUUACAAAAAAAAAAAAUCAGUAAAGUAGCUUGUUAGGAAGGUGGCAUUGGAGUUGUUUUCUUGUUAAUAUAAUCAGAAAAUUAUAUUGAGAUGCAGUGAGUGCAGAACACCAGAUUGUUGCUUUGGGAGCUAAACUGAGUUGUUCUUAAUCUAUUCAAUAUGAGGGGAAAAUUAAGCUAUUACAGGUAUGAUGUGUUUUCUGUGAAGUUUGCAGAAUGAAAUCAGGGGGUUGCUGGAAUUGGAAAUGCAGCUGCUGUGCAGGAAUGGAAAGCUAUGAAAAAACACUAAAUUUAUGCUUUGUGAUUUCUGAAAUUUCAUUGAAUUGGAAAGAAGCUGAAUUCUGGGGAAUGUGUAGCCGAAAUGGGACAUAACAAGUAAAAGAAAAAUGUUGAAUUUUGAAACGUAUCAAGUUGUUGCAGAUUUUUAAUCAGAAUCAAGCUUAAGAAGAUAUAUUUGGCUUUAUUUGCUAUUUGCUGUACUUCCUCUACAAGGUUACUGAACUUUCAGAAACUGAAUCAAACCCAAGGAUUUGAAAUAUGUUGCUACUGAAAAAGUUUAAUUACUGUUUCUCAGCAGUGCCUGAUCCGUGUGCCAACUGAAAUUUUCAGAUUACCAGAAUUUGAAUUGUUGAAAUAGAAACAUAAUGUUCAAGCUGUAGAAUGUUGAAAUGGAAAUCUGGAAAACUGAAUGUUUGGAAGGCUGCUGAUUGAAAUAAACGAAAUUUAGAUUGAAGCAAUAAUUCAUAGAUACCAGCAUGGUGCUGAAAUUGCAAAAUUUAUAGGGCUGAAUUUAUGGGUCUGAGAGGCUUGGCUGGUUAAAGAACAACAGUUUUGAAGUAGAGAAAGUUAAGAAUAGUGUUUAUAUCAGCAACUAGGAGGAGAAGCAUAGUGUUCAUCAUCAGAAAUGCAGGAUAGGAAUUAAGAUUGUUGUGCAGAUAUGCAGAAGUUAAAAAAUUUUUGAAAAAAAUGAGCAGAAAUGCAUGUAAGUUAAUGUGCAGGAAUAUACUAGAUGUAUGUAAUGAGCUUUUCGAUUGGAAGGAAUUGAAGGGCAGGCUAAUUGUGAUUGAAUGCUAUGAAGAUAGUCUUUUGGAGGUUAAAGCUUUAAUGUUUGGCCGGAAUUUCCAAGUAGAUCAGAAAAGAAGAAAAUGCAGAAAUUUCUGCAAAUGAAGCAUUUCUGUGCCAUUUUAGAAAUAAGUUAUAACAUGGUAGAGUUUCUAAAAUCUAAAAAUUUUUGGAGGAUGAAUUGAUAAGGUUUUUAAGAGGCUAGAUAGAAAAGGAAUUGAGAUGUUUGGCGGCUAAAUGAUGUAUAGUUGACACAAAAUCAGGAAGCUAUACAGGGGAUUCAGGGUUUACACUAACUGUGCUACAUGGUGGAACUUUUGGAUCACUGUGAAGUUAUAAACUAGGUGUUGUUUGAGUAUGGUUAGAUGAUAAACUCGUUUCUCUAUAGCUGACAUGGUUUUUAGACAGUUCAGCAGAUACAACACAGAAACACAGACUGAAAACUGGAAACUACAGAUCUGUUCUGAAGCUAUUUUCUGAUUACUGCAAUUGCAGUUAGCAAGAAUUCAAUUUCAAGCUGAAUUUUCUUUUCUGCUAUCAUUAAUUCUUGAAGAGUAUUCAAUUGAUGACAGUCAUUGCUGGGAGCAAAUUGAUGGUUGGACAAAUUGAGAUAUACACAUCAGAAUUAAGAUAUCUGGAGUACUGAAUUUUGCUGCUGUUCUUGUGUACCUUUAAUUUGUUUCAUUCUCUUGCUAUCAUUGAUACUGAGGGAACUGCUUAUUACUUUGAAUAAGAAUAACGUCUAUUGAUUCAAUGAGUGUGUGUGUGUUGGAUAACAGAAUUUUAAGCUGCUGAAAUUUAAAAUGCAGAGUGUCAAAUGAUAGUCUUUGCUAAACUGGUAUUCUGGAGUUACUUUAGUUCUUGAAGUCUGAGACAUUAGUCGUGGAUUCUACUGGAAGAACUUAAUCGCAUCCUUAUAUUGCUAGACCUCAAGUGAAUAUAUUUCCAUUGUAGUGUGUCAUUUUCUGAUAUUGAAGCAGUGAGCGUAGAAAUUCCAAAAGCUGAAUCUGCAGGAUGCAAAUCUACAGGAACUCUUAAAGAUCUCUGCACAUCGUCCUUAGUUAUUGUGGAGCAGUUAUGAACCUAAAAUUAUAGAUAAAUUUUGCUACAGAUGUAAACUUGGUUUCUAAUUCUGGCUAUCUUGUUAACCUAUCAGCUCAAUGUUAUUUGUAAUGUCUGCUUCCGGGAAGCUAGCAUGUUUUAGGCAACGAAAUUAGGGGAUGCUAGAAUCUGAAAUGCAGAAUUGACUAGCUGCACUUCAGUUCUGAAAUCAAGGGGAAACUGAAGUAAUUGAGAAGGACAGAAUCUGUUUUGUGUCAAUUAUUAGUGUUGUUUCUGAAUCAGCAUUUGAUUUUGGAAAUUGGAUUGGAGAUUUAGGAUAGAACUACUCUUACAGUCUCAAAUCUGUUGGAAGCAGUAGGAGAGUUGUUGCAUAUAUGUGAAGAUUACAAGGAGAAAUACUAAAUUGUUGGAUUGGCAGUGUGCUAUUACAAGGAAGUUUGGUAUACGUUUGAGGAUGCUCUGAAUUUGGAAUUAAGAGUUCUCAACACACAUGCACUGUGCCAAUUCGGGAAGUGAAUUGUAACAAGCUAGAACUGCUGAAAACUGGAAAACAUUUUGUUGAAAUCAUUUUCUGAAUCUGGGAACUGAGUCAAUAGUUCUGGAAUAUAAUUUUGAAUCCUACUGAAAUUGAACUUCAUUUCUGAUUGCAAUUCUCAAGCAAAGUGGUAAUAUCUCCUUUUCAAUGCCUUCUUGUUUCAAGAACUGAAACGAAACUUCUUUGUAUCUGAAUUCCUGAAUUUCCAGAAUCGUUUCAAACUAACUUCUUUUGAUUUAUAUGGAAUUGAGUUUCUGCAACUGUUCAGUUUCAUUGCGUUCAGUUGCUGGACAGUGAUGGAUUCUAAGUUGUUCAGUGAUAUUUCAUUCAAAGAUUAUAAUUUUAGUUUGGAAGUCGAACAAAUGAAAAGAAAAAAAACACAUUCGCUGCAGGAAGAGAAAGGAACAGAAUGUAGAAUUUUUGCAGUUUAAUGUAUCAUUUCUGUGCCAACUUCAGAAAUGAGUUACAACAAGCUAGAGUUGUUUGAUAAGGAUCUUAAGAAGCUGGAUGGAAAGGAAUGAGAAUUUUUGGAGGCUAAAUGAUGAUUAGUUGUUAGAGUCCAGAACCUGUACAGAAAUU